rnacentral:lncRNA from 1 species
CUGAUAGGUUAAAAGGGGCCAAAAUGUAUGCAGUAAUACUAAAAAUAGUAUGACAUGUUGAGGGAGUUGUCUCACGCCUAGUUCUGUCAAAGGUUGUUUGAUCAGGCUGUUUCCGUCACCGCCCAUUUUGGGAAUGUACUGCGAGGCGAGGUUUCGCUUGCACAGAUGUGCUGGAAUGGAGUGCCUUUGUUGAGCCAGUCAUCAGUCUUGUAUAUAUGGUUAUCUGGUGAUACAAGAUUGUCAAUUAGAUAGUCUUUCUACUUGUGCUUUUCUGCACUUGCCAUGGUUGAGUAAGUUCAAGCAAGGAUCCCUUAUUAGUUCCUGUUGCACUCAUCUGCAUAUGAUAUGCUGGAUAGUGUUGUCGUUAAAUGAUAAACCAAAAUGUGUACGUUUGAAAUAUCACAGGUCACUACCGUCAGAGGCAAAUUUUGGAAAGUGAUGCUGGAUGUGCUAGAGUGGAGCUCUUGCCUAUACAGUUAUCUGGUGCUAAAAGACAUUAUCAGAGGGUCUUUCUGAUUGAAAAGUAUGCAUCACCUA